ensembl:miRNA cin-mir-4003a-2 cin-mir-4003a-2
UGAGUUGGUUAUACAUUCUUGCGAUAUUUAAGUAUAAUAGCAAGAAUUUUAACCAACACA